GACCAUAUCACCUUGAAAGUCGUUCUCGUAUGAUCACCGAAGUUAAGCAAUAUCGACCCUAGUCAGUACUUAGAUGAGUGACCGCUAGGGAAUACCAGGUGCCGUAAG